AGGGGCGGGGUGCACAGCGCGCAUGCGCCUCAGCGCCGCGCUGCGUCUCUGCUGCCGCUCGAGUGAGGGGCGCGGAGCGGGUGCUCCCGCUGGGGCCGCUGCGGACAUGGGCCCACCGUACCGCCCGCUCGCCCUCGGUCCGGGCCUCCUGCUGGCGUUGGUGCUGUCGUGGUUCGGUGGAACACGGGCUCAGGGCACAUGUGCAUCUCCAGAUAGGCUGCAAUAUGCAGAGCUCAAGGAUAGUUUCAGCGCAAUGAGCAGCUUUCCUGUUGGAACGACAGUGUCGUACAUCUGCCGGCCAGGGUAUAUGGCAGUCCCUGGAAAAUCAUCAACUCGUACGUGUGGUGAAGACUUGCAGUGGUCGCCCGUAGAGCGGUUCUGUACAGAGAGAAAAUGUAACUAUCCAGGAGAACUAGAACAUGGUUUUGUUCAUGUGACAGAUCUUACAUUUGGUUCAAAAGCUACUUUUUCUUGCAAAGAAGGGUUCAGAUUACGUGGCACUGGUGAAAUUUCCUGUAUAAUUAAGGAUAAAGGUGUUGACUGGAGUAGAGAUCUUCCUUUCUGUGAAAGAAUCCCUUGUGAACCACCUCCAAGUAUAGCCAAUGGGCGCUACACUGAAGCAGCUAACUAUGUCUAUGAAACAGCGGUAACCUAUACGUGUGACGAUGUACCAAAAGGCGCGGAUCCCUUCUCACUAAUUGGCCCAGCUACUAUUUUCUGCACGUAUGAUGCCCACUCAAAUGGUGUUUGGAGUGAACCACCUCCGCAAUGUAAAGUGGUCAAAUGUGAUAACCCGAAGGUUGAAAAUGGGAGAAAAAUAUCUGGAUUUGCACCUUCCUAUAACUAUAGGGAGUCCGUUGUAUUUGAGUGUGACCCAGGCUAUUUCAUGAUUGGUUCGCGUAUUGUUAGCUGUGGAGAAAAUAACACCUGGUUUCCUCCAAAACCAACUUGUGAAAAAAUUACUGCAGAUGCAUGUGGUGCCCCAAACAUCACACAUGGAGUAGUGAUUCCAGCGAAAUCUGUGUAUGAAGGAGAAGAGUCUGUUCAGAUAAAGUGCAAUAAGCACUGCACUUUUCCUGAUGGCACUGAAGAGAUGACCAUAACUUGUCGAGGAGGGAAUACAUGGUCAUCUUUACAAAACUGUGCAUGUGGGCCUAAAACUUCUGGUUUCACUCCACACAUAAGUUAUGGUAGAGUAAUUGAUGGACAAAAACCUUCAUAUUCUGUUGGGGAUUUUAUUACGAUUGAAUGUUAUGCAGGCUACACAUUACGUGGUGAAGCUCGUAUUCAGUAUAUCGGAGAAAACCAAUGGAUUCCUGGAGUGCCAACUUGCCAGUUAAGUCCUUAUAUUACGGCCAUCAUCUGUGUGAUUGUGGCAGUUGUGGUGUGCCUGGCAGCCUUCUGGGUCUAUAAGAAAUUCUUUUCACAAAAUGGCUUGUGCCCUCAUCAGCUCAACUCCAUACAGCGCAGACAGGAACCAACAGCAAAAUCGGACUGCGUCACAGAUGUAACAUGACCAUCGGCAAAACAAGUGCAGAAAGAGACCGUGGCUGUCUCGCCAGUCAGAGCGCCUGCCUUCGAUAUCAAAGAAGAAGAAGAUGGUAAUGCUUUUAAAUUUAUGUUGUGAGCAUUUGCAAUCCUUAACUUCCUUUACCAAAUUUUGCGGUCCUUGAACAGUCAAAACUCCCAAGAAAAUUGCAUGUAUUUUGCCAACAGACCCAGCGCAUUAACGAACACUGCGUCAUAAUGCCGCACUAAGGCUGGGAGGGAUAAUGAACCCCACUUUACAAAGGAAGGAAACCAAAAUACAGAAAAAUGAAUCCGCUUACGCAAUGUCACACACCCAAGUGUCAAAGGGAGGAAGAAAUUACAGCUUUCCCAGGUCCUUUUGCAGCAGUACACACAAAACCAUUAUGGAACAGUUAGCCAUGUACAGCUAACGUACAGUAACAAUACGGUCCCUACGCGCAAAAUCGCUGCCGUCCUACAGAAAUAUGCCGUGUCCCCUUCUUCACCUUGUUUCUUGCCAGUCCCACAGAUUUACCUGCUGACAGUAACCUCAAUUCCUGGGUAAUGAGAUAUACAGCCGAAGUUUAACAUUGAAAUAACUCCUUUUUUAGCUCUGUCUCCUUACCCUCCCUGCAUUUAGUCACAAUUAAACUACCACUGUGGCAAAAAGAUGGUAACGAAAGGAAUAAAAACAAACGCAUUCCUACGCUGAAUGCGGAUACUCUGAAAGUACGCAUAUGCCUGAACAAGUAUACCGGCUGCUAGUUGCAGCUCCUUCCAGAGGACUGAGAAAUGACAUUAAGAAGCACUAGCUUUGCAAAUUAAUGAGGUCCUCCGCCCCACAGCCAUGACAAGGAAAACCGCACAGCGUUGUCCGUUCAGACAGCACUCCGUAAAACAGGCUCAACCCACCCGUCUUCCACGCAACCGAGCAUCGUUUCUUAGUCCAUCUCCUGGCUGUCCAGCAUUACCUCUGCGGCUGCCUGGUACUGUUCCUAUCUGUGUGUGUAUUUAUGCCUGUCCGUCUUGCUGCAGGGACCACCGUUGUUGCUGCUAUUCCUGUUGUUCCCCUGCUCUGCGGAACUGGCGCUGCAGGAGGCAAGGAUGCUCCAAGGGAGCCAGCUACAGCCAGCGAAGGCUCAGUGAGUCAGGAGGGGUUGUGACGACUGCAGUAAGAGUCUGAAAUUCCCUAUGGAAUCUGGCAGAAAAGGAGGGGAGGCAAGAAAGGUGGAGAUGGGAAAGCAGAAAAAAAGUGGGGAGUGGCACCUACUGUCUGUUUUCUUCUUCCCUCCCUGUUCCUAGCACCGCACUGCCGUGGGAAAUGGCAUCCUCUCCUCUACGGUACUGCGCAAAGGAACGGAGUUGGGGAUAAAACCGCAGCGCGUACGGCCUUUGUAACCGAACAACCAAAAUUCGGUCGGGGUAGGUGUCUAUGCGUAAAUACAGCCUUUCUCUCUCUCCCUCUCUCUCAGACUGCCGUCGGGAGGACAGGCUGCUGCUGAAGUAAUGGAGACGGUGGACGCAGAAUGUUUGAGUCGGUUCUGAACCCAGCGGUUGUUGCUAAACAACCGGACCUGACGCUUGAGAUGUCAGCAACGUCUGAAGAGCCUGAGCUAUUUUGGGAUUUGUCUGUACUACACUGAAAAUGACACCUGUUACGCACAGACACAAAUGAGAAGAAUUGCAAGCUCCCGGUUUCGCAGAUACGAUUCUACCAAAAAAAAAAAAGAGGAAGAUCCUAUGAGCUAGGGACCUGGGGAGCAGCACAGGCGCUCAGUGUGGGGUGAAGGGGAUGACCCUUGCGAAUUGAACAGACGCCAGUACAAAAAAUGCAAAAGGUCUGUUGUAGCUGAUGCAAGGGGAAAUCAAACCUCCCUGUGACCAAAAGAAAUAGUGCUUGAUCAACUAAAUGCCACAAGACAUGGUUUCUUAUGCAAUCAAACCCACGGGACUUCAAGCCUUACAUAUACGCUUUGUGGCCAAAGCUGCAAGCAUUAACUACUUCAGUUAAUGAAGGUAAAAUUGUAAGAGCACUACGGCUACUUAAAUGAGUCACUCAGCAGUGAUACUCGCUAAAGUAGGCCAGCGUUUUAUGUGAUGUUAAGCUGUCUGUGCUGGUUUCAGUUACCCCUGAGUUAUCUCAGAAGCUCCACCAACGUGCAGGGUCAGGGCAGAUUUUCCACAUUCCCCGUUUUCCCCAUCGACGUGUGGCUGAUUUACAACUCGCUGGCACUGUGCAGACGAGACAGAGACCAUCCUGCUGCACCUGUGAGACCCAGCGAAGCUCUGAACAUGAUUGUGUACGGCACUGGAGCAAGAUAAAAGACUCGGAGCCUCAGAAAUGGGACAGUUGACUGGUGCUUUUAGCUCACAGCAAUUUUGUCAGUCUUGUGGUAUAGUAAGAAAGUAAAAUGGAGCUUUGAUUUAUUUCAAAUUAUAUCUUUUUCGUUGCUUUCAGGGGAAAGGCAGUAUUUAUUUUAUGGUUUACUUUCAUUUGAAAAUCACUGGCCAUGGAACAUUUCUACCUUUACCUGACUGUAAGUAUUGUAUUUCUGGUGGCGCUCAGGCUCCCAAGAAGACUCAAAGCUGCACUGCACUGGGAAACACUCAAGCGCACAAGUAAGAAAGCAUGGCACCAUGGAAAGCUUCAGCACCCAGAACUGAAUAAUGAGGCCCAAAAAAAUAAAGUUGUCUUCUCACACAGUUGAGUCAGUUCAAUGUUGGGCAGGCUUUGGCAUUUUCUCUGAGCUGAAGUAAGGAAAUAGAGGCCGUGAUUCCAUGGUAGAAAUCUAGGAUGCUUUUCUGUUUUAAGUGGAGCCCAGGCACAUGUUUUGUUACUGGUUGUGGGGGGGGUUUUUUCCCCCCUCCAAACUCUGUCCAAAAGCAGGAGGCAGAACUCUGGUUUUGUAAGAACUGACUAUGAGGAGCAAAGUCCCGGAGUAGAAAGCAAGCUUGGUUAACGGAAAUAAUCCACGGCCGUGGUGGGAGGCAGGGAGCUCAGUCUCGCUGUGCAAAUGGUGGUGUAAAUAUCCAUUCCAAAGCCAGGGGUGACCCAAUGGCCAACUCCAACUGUGCCUUUGGGUGCUUACAGUGCUGAUUAAAAAAAAAAAAAGCAAAACAGUUUUUAUAGCACUAGACAAUGUAACAAGCUAUCAUGACUUAGAAAUAGAAUGGUUCAGGCUGGAUGUUUAAGGGGAAAAAAUAAUUUCUUCAGGAAGGUGGGAUUGAGCCCCCAGCCAUCAUUACCACGUCUGCCGUCAAUCGACGCUUUCCCUCGGCAUCGUGAAAGCAUCAGGGAGCACCACGAUCAGUUCAUCAGCGAGCAGAGGAAACGUGGGCUUGCCGCUGCUUAUACGCCGAACUGCACGUAAAGGUGCAUCCUCCAUUCCCUGGCAUCUCCCGUGCUAUUUUCUGCUGUCAUGCUACAAUGACCUUAAUAGCGGUAACAUAUGAAGCCUGACGCUACAAAAAUCUAACCCUCGUGCACGUCAUUAUUGGUAUCGUGGGUGCUAAAUUAACCUCGGCCAUCCACUGAAGAAGGCCCUUGGUCUUUUUAAUGACAAACGAAAAACCUCGUGGUACCACCCGCACUUUCAGCUUCCUGCUGGUGAAGUCCUGGCUCAGGUUUCGGUUUAAAUGCCAUCCGCCACACCUUCCUCCCACUGCAGGAAACUGCGAUUGUUAAAAUCGGGGCAUGUUCCUGUUUAACUAAAAGGCUGAGUUCAAAUAAUCCAAAGGCUUUGAUUAUGCCAAACAAAUUCCUGCCCAAGAUGUAGCAAGUCCGUGCAGCUGUAAAUCUGUAACCCCUCGACCUCAACAUCCGUGUAAAUGACGUCUCGGCACAUCACCUCGGGGAGCAGCUGGUAGUAAACGGAAGGAGCAGAGAACGGGGCAAAGGUGGACAGGGGAACGUAAAAUUUCAUAAUAACGUUUGGCACACUGCUCUCCAGCUUACCACCCAAAAGACAUGAAAGUUGCUUUAAAACGCAAAAUAGUGUGGUUUUCAAAAGCUGAUGUGGGAUAGAUCUUUUUCAAAAUGUGAAAUUAAAACUACCUCUUCCUCACGAAACACUGACAACCUCAGCAAAAUGAUGUUUUUCCAAGAAAAAUCUAUUUCAGCGCAGAAUUCCCAGCCAGCUCCGCUCGAGGAAUACCAGCAGAAACAGUAACACGACCGCCAGUCUGCCAGGACCAUUUCCCCUAACCCUCACCACUCAGAGGGUGGUUUUUUUAAUUUUCUUUUCAUCUUAAUGUUGUAAUAGAAAAUCAUCUUUAAAAACCAAAACAACCCUUACUUAACUCUGCUAUAGUAAAACAAUUGUCUACAUUGACUGCAAAUAAAGAAGUAA